UGGGGAAUCUUCCGCAAUGGGCGAAAGCCUGACGGAGCAACGCCGCGUGAUCGAAUGAAGGCCUUCGGGUUGUAAAGAUCUGUUGACAGGGACGAAUAAGCAAUGCGAAUAGUUUUGUGUAUGACGGUACCUGUUUAGAAAGCUCCGGCUAACUACGUGCCAGCAGCCGCGGUAAUACGUAGGGAGCAAGCGUUGUCCGGAAUUACUGGGCGUAAAGGGCGCGUAGGUGGGCGCUUAAGUCAGGUGUGAAAACUCCGGGCUCAACCUGGAGACUGCACUUGAAACUGGGUGUCUUGAGGGCAGGAGAGGAAAGUGGAAUUCCUAGUGUAGCGGUGAAAUGCGUAGAUAUUAGGAGGAACACCAGUGGCGAAGGCGACUUUCUGGACUGUACCUGACGCUGAGGCGCGAAAGCGUGGGUAGCGAACG
rnacentral:rRNA from 1 species